rnacentral:rRNA from 1 species
UGGGGAAUUUUGGACAAUGGGGGAAACCCUGAUCCAGCCAUCCCGCGUGUGCGGUGAAGGCCUUCGGGUUGUAAAGCACUUUUGGCAGGAAAGAAACGUCGCGGGUUAAUACCCCGCGAAACUGACGGUACCUGCAGAAUAAGCACCGGCUAACUACGUGCCAGCAGCCGCGGUAAUACGUAGGGUGCAAGCGUUAAUCGGAAUUACUGGGCGUAAAGCGUGCGCAGGCGGUUCGGAAAGAAAGAUGUGAAAUCCCAGAGCUUAACUUUGGAACUGCAUUUUUAACUACCGGGCUAGAGUGUGUCAGAGGGAGGUGGAAUUCCGCGUGUAGCAGUGAAAUGCGUAGAUAUGCGGAGGAACACCGAUGGCGAAGGCAGCCUCCUGGGAUAACACUGACGCUCAUGCACGAAAGCGUGGGGAGCAAACAGGAUUAGAUACCCUGGUAGUCCACGCCCUAAACGAUGUCAACUAGCUGUUGGGGCCUUCGGGCCUUGGUAGCGCAGCUAACGCGUGAAGUUGACCGCCUGGGGAGUACGGUCGCAAGAUUAAAACUCAAAUGAAUUGAC